rnacentral:rRNA from 1 species
GACGAACGCUGGCGGCGUGCUUAACACAUGCAAGUCGAACGGAAAGGCCCUGCUUUCGUGGGGUGCUCGAGUGGCGAACGGGUGAGUAACGCGUGAGUAACCUGCCCUUGACUUUGGGAUAACUUCAGGAAACUGGGGCUAAUCCCGGAUUGGUGCUCCUGCUGCCUGGUGGGGGUUGGAAAGUUUCGGCGGUUGGGGAUGGACUCGCGGCUUAUCAGCUUGUUGGUGGGGUAGUGGCUUACCAAGGCCUUGACGGGUAGCCGGCGUGAGAGGGUGACCGGCCACAUUGGGACUGAGAUACGGCCCAGACUCCUACGGGAGGCAGCAGUGGGGAAUAUUGCACAAUGGGCGGAAGCCUGAUGCAACAACGCCGCGUGCGGGGUGGCGGCCGUCGGGUUGUAAACCGCUUUCGCCUGUGACGAAGCGUGAGUGGCGGUAAUGGGUAAAGAAGCACCGGCUAACUACGUG